AGAAUAUUAAUUAGAGAUAAAUAUUAGAGACUAAUUGGAAUAAGUGAGUAGAAAUUAUCACACAAAUAGAACACCAUGAUUUGUGGUCUACAUGUUAUUAAACAAAUGCUAAGAAAGAAUCAAAGCGGGACCCACACUUUGAUUAUGAACCACAUGACCAAAGCCAUAUCUCUUCAAUUUCAUUUUUCAUUUGCUGAACUGAAAGAGCACUCAGGAAACAAAGACUCCCUCACCCUCUCUCACGCCUCCCACCCUCAUCUCUACCUUUCCAUUUAUUCAACAAUCAAACAUGGAAGAUUCUUGCAUGCAAUCCACUCAUUAGUUUCUUGGGUCAAUUAGAGCAAGGAACAAAGUAUUGAUUAAAACCUCAAAGAUUCGGAGGUUUGAGUAAAAGGGGUCAAAUUGGAAGUUGAGAACUUAGUGGCAAAAAUAAGAAGUUCAUGGAGAUAGAGAAGUUGGGGAAAAGCUUGAAGCUUGGAGUUUCAACACUUAAUUCAUGAUUCUACGGCCGCUGGAAGUGGAGGAUGGCAGCAAAAGCUGCAUUUUGCUUACUGCAACAGCUCACCUAGCGAGCAGGAAGGUCUCUCAAUGACCGUAGCAGGGCAACAGUUCUUCUGCAUCUUUGUCAAACCAUUCUUGAAUAUUGGUAAGAAAACUUAGAGCUCUUUUCCUUUCAUUCAGAUUUCAGAAUCAGCAUAUUCUUCGAUGUUAGAAAAUGUCAUUAAUUCCAUUCUUGGUAUUUACAUGUGGUUUUUGUGGUGAAUGAGGCUUGGUUAAAUAAUUGGAGCUGAGCAUGGAAUUAAAAGUGGAAUUCAGAACCAUUAUAAAGGAAAAUAGAAUUUAUUAAGAAGCAUUGGAUGCUUGAAUGAUGACUGAGGAUGUACGAAUCAGUAAGGACAAUUGUUGAAACAAGGAAACAAAGAAGACUGGAAAUAUUUAUGGAAAUUCGUAUGCUGGAUGUACCCUCACUAAAAUGGUACCAGCCUAGUGAGAUGUAAUGGAGAAAUGAGGUCUCGACGAAUCUUUAAAGUGAAAGGUCCAACACAGAAUUUAUGCAGAAAGUGUUUGGGAUUGGGCUGCACUCAAACGAAUUGUGGCCAGUAGGUAUUUUUGAAGUUGGAACUCUGAUGCUGGUAUUAUGCAGAAAAAUCUGCACACAAGUUUGGAGUAGUUUCGUUGCAAAUUCUGCUUUUCGACGAGUUUCGGAAAUGUCGGUGGUAUGGUUCAAGCGUCGAUUUCAGAUAAACAGGUUGAUCAAGAUAUCAUGUUCUACAAGCAUGGAGUUCAGAUACUUGGAUUAUGCUAGUUGAGCUGACGUCAUGUUAUCUUAUAUUUGUAUAAGAUUUAGUUUCUUUAUGUUUUCAGUUGUUAGCUCAAUUUAGUAUUAAUCUCUUGGAUUUUGUAAUCCUAUUUAUGUAUUCGGACAAUAUGUAAUGAAAAUUUAAUGUUUCCCGAUUCAGUUAUGUACACUCUUAUCGAUAUUCUAGAUAAAUUGACAUGGGGUGUUAUAAUUGGUAUCAGAGCAGGUCGAUUCACUAUCGGACCUUGCCGCGGAUCAUUAAAAUUCAAUCCAUAGUAGUACGGACCCUUUGGAGUCUGGACUGUUUACGCUGAAAUCAUCGCGUGUUGAGCCUGAUCAACUCAAUAUCGUGUAUGGUAGGCAGGGUAUUACGGUUGAGAACCGAAGUGGACCAAGGAGGUCAAGUAGUAAGAAAGAAGUAGAAGCGCAUACUCAGAUGAAAGUAUUAACGGAGACCGUUAGAAGUGGAUAUCGGAACUGCAGCAGUCGACGCCACAAGAAUAAGUUGAGUAACGCCAACAAGUGGCGCACAAAAUUGAGAAUAGUACGUGGCGUAAUACCAGUAGUAAUAGGCAUAUCAAGACAUGCACGAACCGAACGCACUCAACUGACGGUAUCGGGUUUAAAGAUAUGGAGAAUUCUGGGAUUGGAAACCUGGUAUCAAAGUAAGUUUUGACCGGAGUGGAACCAAGACCGAGUAUUGAAGUACAAAAUAUUGGAAAAUUGUUGUAAGUCUGAUGGGCGCAUAAAUACAUAUGAUGGAAUUAUAAGAACAUUACAUGCCCCAAUAAGAUAAGUUCAGCCUUUCAGUUCGUAACUAGUAUCCUAGUCAGACCCGUAUCAGCCAAGUUUUGUUUGAGUAAUGACUGAAAUUAAUUCUAAUACUAUCAGUUACCUAAGCUGGCAUAUUAAGUGUCAUUAUCAUUGAUUCAAGAACAAGUAAUGCAGUUUUGUACUAGCAUCAAGAAGUCGCCGAACAAUUUUUCGUAUUCAAACCUCUCAACUAAUAACCCAACAUACUCGGUUAAACCUUUUGUGAGAAAUUAUCAGCUGAGUCAUAAUGAGAAUCAAGUCUGUUCCAGUUCCAGAGAUUAGUCAGUUAAGAGAAAUCAUGAAGUAUGAACGUACUGCAAUAGAAUUAUGAUCUUCAGUUAGCUACCCUUUCACCUGAACUUUAAUUCAGCUAAAUUUAUCGAACUGAUGCGAUGCAUGAUACAUAAGCAAUAAACCUUAUUAAGUUAUGAACAUUAAGUUUCCCGAGCCUAUCUAAUCAUGAUAAGAGAGAGAUAAAUUAUUUUGGUGUUUGGAACCUAUCAUUUACAUUUAGUACAAUAAUUCAAUUAAUUUGCGAACCUUUCUAAUUCCUUAAUAUCAGUGAAUUGGAUUCACGGAUAGAGUGUUAUCAUUAUGUAAAUCUGACGAAAUGUCUUAAGCUUUCCAGCUUUGUUGUUAGUAAUCAGUUCGGAUUCAGGUAAGUUUUUUUAAGUAAUAGAGUAAUUGGCGGGAGCAAUAAGGGAAGUAAAUACUAGAGAGGACUGAAUGUAGCUGAGGUCGGUGAAGUGAUAAGAAGUGAAGUGUUGCAGACAUGUUAGAUGGCGGUAAAGUAUUAUGUAUAUGAUGGUGUGCCUAACGUCACUAAGCGAUGCAAGUGCUACUUGUGAUGUCUACGGUACGAGAAGUAUUAAUAGAAGAAAUAACAUCGGAUAAGAUGAGAUGAUGUGAAACAGUGUCUGAGAAGUUACAACUAAGAAUGUAAUGAUGUGUAUAGAGAAUGACAGUAAGUAGUCGAAUCAGAGUGCGCAGCCGGGAAGUGGUUGAGAAUGUAGUCGGCAGAUUGACUUGUAGGUCAACAACUCUUUGAGAGAGGAAAUCCCUAUUCGAAGGAAUUGAAAGUGGGGAACCGUAAAAUGAUUAAAGAUCGUAUAACGAGUAAAUUACGCAAAUAUUCAUGUUUGGACCUGAGAUUGUUAGUAUAAAAUACCCUUGAGAGCAAAGAUUGUGAAGGUAAAACGGUUCACUUGGGAAGUUUGACGCGGUGAACUAGUUAGAUUAAGUAUGCUUCGGCAUUGAAUUGAAAAGUGCAAAAGAAGGAAAGUUACGCUGUGAGCGUUAAAGUUGAGGAAAAGUAACAGAGGGAGCUAAUAUAAGAUGAGUGUGUACCUAAAAGUUGCAUUAUGGGCUAAGAUUAUGAGUUCAACGUCAUGGAAUAAAUGAGUAGAAUUUCCGAAAGUAUCAUAAGUGAACGCCAACGCAGUGAAGAAUGACGAUUACUAACCUUGAACGAUAAAUUAUGAUCAAUUAAGAAACGAAAUCCAGAAUCUGGAAAUGGAUUAUAGGCAAUGUACUUGGUGAUGAAUGAAGAAGUUUUUGAAUUUCGCGGACGAAAUUCUUUUAAGGGGGAUAGAUUGUAACAUCCCAACUUUAAUUAAUAGUAGAAUAUUAAUUAGAGAUAAAUAUUAGAGACUAAUUGGAAUAAGUGAGUAGAAAUUAUCACACAAAUAGAACACCAUGAUUUGUGGUCUACAUGUUAUUAAACAAAUGCUAAGAAAGAAUCAAAGCGGGACCCACACUUUGAUUAUGAACCACAUGACCAAAGCCAUAUCUCUUCAAUUUCAUUUUUCAUUUGCUGAACUGAAAGAGCACUCAGGAAACAAAGACUCCCUCACCCUCUCUCACGCCUCCCACCCUCAUCUCUACCUUUCCAUUUAUUCAACAAUCAAACAUGGAAGAUUCUUGCAUGCAAUCCACUCAUUAGUUUCUUGGGUCAAUUAGAGCAAGGAACAAAGUAUUGAUUAAAACCUCAAAGAUUCGGAGGUUUGAGUAAAAGGGGUCAAAUUGGAAGUUGAGAACUUAGUGGCAAAAAUAAGAAGUUCAUGGAGAUAGAGAAGUUGGGGAAAAGCUUGAAGCUUGGAGUUUCAACACUUAAUUCAUGAUUCUACGGCCGCUGGAAGUGGAGGAUGGCAGCAAAAGCUGCAUUUUGCUUACUGCAACAGCUCACCUAGCGAGCAGGAAGGUCUCUCAAUGACCGUAGCAGGGCAACAGUUCUUCUGCAUCUUUGUCAAACCAUUCUUGAAUAUUGGUAAGAAAACUUAGAGCUCUUUUCCUUUCAUUCAGAUUUCAGAAUCAGCAUAUUCUUCGAUGUUAGAAAAUGUCAUUAAUUCCAUUCUUGGUAUUUACAUGUGGUUUUUGUGGUGAAUGAGGCUUGGUUAAAUAAUUGGAGCUGAGCAUGGAAUUAAAAGUGGAAUUCAGAACCAUUAUAAAGGAAAAUAGAAUUUAUUAAGAAGCAUUGGAUGCUUGAAUGAUGACUGAGGAUGUACGAAUCAGUAAGGACAAUUGUUGAAACAAGGAAACAAAGAAGACUGGAAAUAUUUAUGGAAAUUCGUAUGCUGGAUGUACCCUCACUAAAAUGGUACCAGCCUAGUGAGAUGUAAUGGAGAAAUGAGGUCUCGACGAAUCUUUAAAGUGAAAGGUCCAACACAGAAUUUAUGCAGAAAGUGUUUGGGAUUGGGCUGCACUCAAACGAAUUGUGGCCAGUAGGUAUUUUUGAAGUUGGAACUCUGAUGCUGGUAUUAUGCAGAAAAAUCUGCACACAAGUUUGGAGUAGUUUCGUUGCAAAUUCUGCUUUUCGACGAGUUUCGGAAAUGUCGGUGGUAUGGUUCAAGCGUCGAUUUCAGAUAAACAGGUUGAUCAAGAUAUCAUGUUCUACAAGCAUGGAGUUCAGAUACUUGGAUUAUGCUAGUUGAGCUGACGUCAUGUUAUCUUAUAUUUGUAUAAGAUUUAGUUUCUUUAUGUUUUCAGUUGUUAGCUCAAUUUAGUAUUAAUCUCUUGGAUUUUGUAAUCCUAUUUAUGUAUUCGGACAAUAUGUAAUGAAAAUUUAAUGUUUCCCGAUUCAGUUA